rnacentral:rRNA from 1 species
GAGUUUGAUCCUGGCUCAGGAUGAACGCUGGCGGCGUGCUUAACACAUGCAAGUCGAACGGACUCAUAUUGAAACCUAGUGAUAUAUGAGUUAGUGGCGGACGGGUGAGUAACGCGUGGAGAACCUGCCGUAUACUGGGGGAUAACACUUAGAAAUAGGUGCUAAUACCGCAUAAGCGCACAGCUUCGCAUGAAGCAGUGUGAAAAACUCCGGUGGUAUACGAUGGAUCCGCGUCUGAUUAGCUGGUUGGCGGGGUAAAGGCCCACCAAGGCGACGAUCAGUAGCCGGCCUGAGAGGGUGAACGGCCACAUUGGGACUGAGACACGGCCCAAACUCCUACGGGAGGCAGCAGUGGGGAAUAUUGCACAAUGGGGGAAACCCUGAUGCAGCGACGCCGCGUGAGUGAAGAAGUAUUUCGGUACGUAAAGCUCUAUCAGCAGGGAAGAAAAUGACGGUACCUGACUAAGAAGCCCCGGCUAACUACGUGCCAGCAGCCGCGGUAAUACGUAGGGGGCAAGCGUUAUCCGGAUUUACUGGGUGUAAAGGGAGCGUAGACGGCAGCGCAAGUCUGGAGUGAAAUCCCAUGGCUUAACCAUGGAACUGCUUUGGAAACUGUGCAGCUGGAGUGCAGGAGAGGUAAGCGGAAUUCCUAGUGUAGCGGUGAAAUGCGUAGAUAUUAGGAGGAACACCAGUGGCGAAGGCGGCUUACUGGACUGUAACUGACGUUGAGGCUCGAAAGCGUGGGGAGCAAACAGGAUUAGAUACCCUGGUAGUCCACGCUGUAAACGAUGAUUACUAGGUGUUGGGGGACCAAGGUCCUUCGGUGCCGGCGCAAACGCAUUAAGUAAUCCACCUGGGGAGUACGUUCGCAAGAAUGAAACUCAAAGGAAUUGACGG